AUGAAGGCCACAACUCUUCUCUCCGGCUAUCCCCGACGCCAACCCACCACGCCAUGUCCGCCGGACCGACGACGGCGCUGGAACGAGGAGCUCGACCAGGCUGAGCUGGGCGUCCAACCGGACAAGGCAGCAGUCCACGCCGGCGAGUGCGUGCAUGGCCCACCCCUCCGCCCACGGCGAUGCGGCUCCCGGCUGCGCAGCCACAGCGUGGAGCAUCCGCGCGUAUGUGUAUGCGUCAGCGGCCACCCUACACGUUGCAUCUUCAUGAAUACGCCUAUUAAAUCCAGACUUGCAGCAAGGCGUCGCCGCGGACUUUACUGA
rnacentral:rRNA from 1 species